GGGUAACGGGGUGUUAGGGCACGACACCGGAGAGGGAGCCUGAGAAACGGCUACCACAUCCAAGGAAGGCAGCAGGCGCGCAAAUUACCCAAUCCCGACACGGGGAGGUAGUGACAAUAAAUAACAAUACAGGGUUCUUUUGGAUCUUGUAAUUGGAAUGAGUACAAUUUAAAUCUCUUAACGAGGAACAAUUGGAGGGCAAGUCUGGUGCCAGCAGCCGCGGUAAUUCCAGCUCCAAUAGCGUAUAUUAAAGUUGUUGCAGUUAAAAAGCUCGUAGUUGAAUUUCGGGAUCAAUAUUUCGGUCAUGCCGUUGGUAUGCACUGUUAUCAUUGAUUUCUCACCUUCUAAAGAACCGUAAUGCCAUUAAUUUGGUGUUACGGGGAAUUAGGACUGUUACCUUGAAAAAAUUAGAGUGUUUAAAGCAGGCUCACGCUUGAAUACAUUAGCAUGGAAUAAUGAAAUAGGACAUCCGAUUCUAUUUUGUUGGUUUCUAGGAUCGAUGUAAUGAUUAAUAGGGAUAGUUGGGGGCAUUAGUAUUCAAUUGUCAGAGGUGAAAUUCUUGGAUUUAUUGAAGACUAACUACUGCGAAAGCAUUUGCCAAGGAUGUUUUCAUUAAUCAAGAACGAAAGUUAGGGGAUCGAAGACGAUCAGAUACC
rnacentral:rRNA from 1 species